GAGAAACCGUAGUGAGAACCAUAGCAGCCGCACACCACUCCCAACUCUCUCUCUCGGUCCCUCUCUCUCAUCUGGAUACUGCCGGCUCCGGCAACCGGAGCCACUUCCGGCGACGAACAAAUCCUCAAUCCCCACCUGUUACGCUACACCCACACCUCCACUCUCCUGCUCUGCUCUGGUGACACACCCCCCUGAACCAUCCAUUUCGUUGAACCGUUUCAACCACGCCCACGUUUUAGAUCGACCGAUAGAAGAGAUAGAGAGAAAUCAGAAGUUGAAAGGAGAAAGUUGGCGGCCGGCGACGACGCACGGUGGCUGCGGCGAUACUUGAUCCGACGACGACGGCGUUUGAUUCCGACAGCACGGGUCUCGAGUUGAGCUCCGGUUUGGGUCUCGCAACAUAGCCGGUUCAAGUGUCGGUUCAGACUCGGUGGAGUCUCGGCUAGAUUCAGUCGGGUCUCGUUUCAGUGGUGUCGAUGGUGAUGUCGGUGGUGCAGAUGGCUCGGGUUCGGGUCUCACGUCAACGGCUUAGGUUUGGCUCGGGUUCGGGUCUCACGUCAACGGCUUAGGUUUGGCUCGGGUUCGGGUAUCGUGGAGCAGUUGGUUCGGGAUUAACGUAACUCGUCGGAAGUCAGUUCAUCAUCAUUCGGAUGACCGCCCCGUUCAUUCGGUUUCUCAAUCUUUACCCGUGCGUUAAUUUACAAGGAAUCGUAAACGCAACCACUGAUUUGGAUGAUGCAAGGAAUCUAGUAGGGUUGCCUAGAAACGCGACUGAAUUCUAAUACUUGUUGUUCUGUAUUUGAUUUUCAAACAUGUUCGAAAUUUGUUUCCACUCUUUGUAUGAGACUAGUAAUCAAUGAAAUGAAACCUAAUUAGUUGAA